AGUGCAGUGAAAAAGUGAGUGAAAAGUGAGUGCAGUGUUAGAGUGAGUUACUUGAAAAAACAUUUAAAUGUCCCGCAUGACUAAAGAAAGAGCGGUGUUAAGUGAAAGUGUUAGUGUCGAUGGUCAUUAUGACGGCUAGUAGGGCUGGGCGGUUGCGGCCAAAGUGUGUGAAGUGAUCAUAGCAUUAGAGUGAGUUACUUGAAAAAAACAGUUAAAUGUCCCGCAUGACUAAAGAAAGAGCGGAAAUAAAUAAUCACACUCAGUGCUAAGUGAAAGUGUUAGUGUCGAUGGUCAUAAUGAUGGCAAGGAGAGCCAGGCGGUUGCGGCCAAAGUGAGUGAAAAGUGAGUGCAGUGCGAAUGGCGUAUAAGAAGCAGGUUGCAGAAUAAAAUGAGCGGAAAUAUGUGAAGUGCAGUGAUAAGUGUAGUGUCGAUGGUCAUAAUGAUGGCAAGGAGAGCCAGGCGGUUGCGGCCAAAGUGAGUGAAAAGUGAGUGCAGUGUGAAUGGCGUAUAAGAAGCAGGUUGCAGAAUAAAAUGAGCGGAAAUAUGUGAAGUGCAGUGUACAUACAUAUGAAGACGUUAAUUUAUGCACUAAAUUUUUUUUUCAAGUUCAAAAUGUGCAUUUUUGUUUGAUCAUAUAAUGUCUUGCAAAUAUCCAAAAAAAAAUGUGAUGUAUAGUGUUUUUUCCUUUCCCACUCCGGCAUGUAAUUGUCGCAGAAGAAGAGCAUGAGCGAGCGCCUCUCUUUCCAAGUGUAAAAAGAAUAAGGUGGUGAUUUCCAAAUCUGAAGUUGUGAUCUUUCUCUCUCGUGCACCUUGUGCACGCGAAAUAAGCAAAGUAUGCGUGUUUUGAGAGAGUUGUGUUCUCCAAUGUCCCACCUUAAAUUGAAAUAUACCACAUUUGUGCUCUUAUUGGAGUCGCAUAGUCGAAAUUUACAAAUGAGAGUAUGUGUGUGCGUUCAUGUGCGUAGAAAGCGGCGAAAUGGGAGAACAUCGCGUGUGCAAUAUGUAUAAUGUAUAAUAAGUGCAGUGUGUAAUAAAUCAAUUUUUUUUUGCGAGUGCUAACAAAGUCUCCCAGUCCCGUUCCGACUCGUCAAAUGCGUAAUCCGAAAUCCGUAAUCCAAUUCUAAUUCGUAAC
rnacentral:lncRNA from 1 species